rnacentral:rRNA from 1 species
UACGUAGGGUCCGAGCGUUUUCCGGAUUUAUUGGGCGUAAAGAGCUCGUAGGCGGCUCGGUAAGUCGGGUGUGAAAACUCGGGGCUCAACCCCGAGACGCCAUCCGAUACUGCCGUGGCUUGAGUCUGGUAGGGGAACACGGAAUUCCUGGUGUAGCGGUGAAAUGCGCAGAUAUCAGGAGGAACACCAAUGGCGAAGGCAGUGUUCUGGGCCAGUACUGACGCUGAGGAGCGAAAGCGUGGGUAGCAAACAGG